rnacentral:rRNA from 6 species
AAAUUGAAGAGUUUGAUCAUGGCUCAGAUUGAACGCUGGCGGCAGGCCUAACACAUGCAAGUCGAACGGUAACAGGAAGCAGCUUGCUGCUUUGCUGACGAGUGGCGGACGGGUGAGUAAUGUCUGGGAAACUGCCUGAUGGAGGGGGAUAACUACUGGAAACGGUGGCUAAUACCGCAUAACGUCGCAAGACCAAAGAGGGGGACCUUCGGGCCUCUUGCCAUCAGAUGUGCCCAGAUGGGAUUAGCUUGUUGGUGAGGUAACGGCUCACCAAGGCGACGAUCCCUAGCUGGUCUGAGAGGAUGACCAGCCACACUGGAACUGAGACACGGUCCAGACUCCUACGGGAGGCAGCAGUGGGGAAUAUUGCACAAUGGGCGCAAGCCUGAUGCAGCCAUGCCGCGUGUAUGAAGAAGGCCUUCGGGUUGUAAAGUACUUUCAGCGGGGAGGAAGGUGUUGUGGUUAAUAACCACAGCAAUUGACGUUACCCGCAGAAGAAGCACCGGCUAACUCCGUGCCAGCAGCCGCGGUAAUACGGAGGGUGCAAGCGUUAAUCGGAAUUACUGGGCGUAAAGCGCACGCAGGCGGUCUGUCAAGUCGGAUGUGAAAUCCCCGGGCUCAACCUGGGAACUGCAUUCGAAACUGGCAGGCUUGAGUCUUGUAGAGGGGGGUAGAAUUCCAGGUGUAGCGGUGAAAUGCGUAGAGAUCUGGAGGAAUACCGGUGGCGAAGGCGGCCCCCUGGACAAAGACUGACGCUCAGGUGCGAAAGCGUGGGGAGCAAACAGGAUUAGAUACCCUGGUAGUCCACGCCGUAAACGAUGUCUACUUGGAGGUUGUGCCCUUGAGGCGUGGCUUCCGGAGCUAACGCGUUAAGUAGACCGCCUGGGGAGUACGGCCGCAAGGUUAAAACUCAAAUGAAUUGACGGGGGCCCGCACAAGCGGUGGAGCAUGUGGUUUAAUUCGAUGCAACGCGAAGAACCUUACCUGGUCUUGACAUCCACAGAACUUUCCAGAGAUGGACUGGUGCCUUCGGGAACUGUGAGACAGGUGCUGCAUGGCUGUCGUCAGCUCGUGUUGUGAAAUGUUGGGUUAAGUCCCGCAACGAGCGCAACCCUUAUCCUUUGUUGCCAGCGGUCCGGCCGGGAACUCAAAGGAGACUGCCAGUGAUAAACUGGAGGAAGGUGGGGAUGACGUCAAGUCAUCAUGGCCCUUACGACCAGGGCUACACACGUGCUACAAUGGCGCAUACAAAGAGAAGCGACCUCGCGAGAGCAAGCGGACCUCAUAAAGUGCGUCGUAGUCCGGAUUGGAGUCUGCAACUCGACUCCAUGAAGUCGGAAUCGCUAGUAAUCGUGGAUCAGAAUGCCACGGUGAAUACGUUCCCGGGCCUUGUACACACCGCCCGUCACACCAUGGGAGUGGGUUGCAAAAGAAGUAGGUAGCUUAACCUUCGGGAGGGCGCUUACCACUUUGUGAUUCAUGACUGGGGUGAAGUCGUAACAAGGUAACCGUAGGGGAACCUGCGGUUGGAUCACCUCCUUA